rnacentral:rRNA from 1 species
UACGUAGGGGGCAAGCGUUGUCCGGAUUUAUUGGGCGUAAGGAGCGUGUAGGCGGCCUGAAAGGUCAGCUGUGAAAACUCGAGGCUCAACCUCGAGACGUCGGUUGAAACCAUCUGGCUAGAGUCCGGAAGAGGAGAGUGGAAUUCCCGGUGUAGCGGUGAAAUGCGCAGAUAUCGGGAAGAACACCCGUGGCGAAGGCGGCUCUCUGGGACGGUACUGACGCUGAGACGCGAAAGCGUGGGGAGCGAACAGG